UUGUGGAGGAGGACGCCGAAGGUGGGGCUAAUGACUGGGGUGAAGUCGUAACAAGGUAGCCGUACCGGAAGGUGCGGCUGGAUCACCUCCUAACAGGGAGACAACAAAAUGUUAAAUAUUAAUUUUGUCACCUUAGGUCGAUCGGUAUCUCAGGUUCUUAAUUACUUUAAGAAUUUCAUUUCCUAAGUUUUUUCUAGGUCACACCCAUUACUUUUCCUGGGCCAUUAGCUCAGGUGGUUAGAGCGCACCCCUGAUAAGGGUGAGGUCCCUGGUUCAAGUCCAGGAUGGCCCAUAUCUCUAUGUUGGGGGUAUAGCUCAGUUGGUAGAGCGCCUGCUUUGCAAGCAGGAUGUCAGCGGUUCGAGUCCGCUUACCUCCACUGAUUACCACCUCUUCCAUAAAUUUAAAGAAGGGAAUUGUUAUUAGAUGUGAUUUAGUUCUGAACGAAUCUAGCUUCCUAAUAAAUAUAUUAAGAUGCUGGACUCAUUGAAUUUUAUUCAUUGUCUUCAGAGAACCUUGACAACUGCAUAGAUUAUUUUUAAAGACAAUAAGCAUCUUUAAUGAUGCAGAUUUAUUAUUUGUGCUAAUGCAUUAACAACAAUUCUAUUGAGCUGAUGCUUCAAUUUUGAAGUUAUUGGUCAAGCUACAA
rnacentral:misc_RNA from 1 species